GGUGGAAUGGCCGAGCGGUUAUGGCGCUGCGUUCAGGUGUAUCUGAAUAAUUCUAUGAUCAAUGGAAUUCUCGCAGUGGAGCAAUCCGCGUGGGUUCGAAUCCCACUUCCAUCA